rnacentral:rRNA from 1 species
GACGAACGCUGGCGGCGUGCUUAACACAUGCAAGUCGAACGGAAAGGCCCUGCUUUUGUGGGGUGCUCGAGUGGCGAACGGGUGAGUAACACGUGAGUAACCUGCCCUUGACUUUGGGAUAACUUCAGGAAACUGGGGCUAAUACCGGAUAGGAGCUCCUGCUGCAUGGUGGGGGUUGGAAAGUUUCGGCGGUUGGGGAUGGACUCGCGGCUUAUCAGCUUGUUGGUGGGGUAGUGGCUUACCAAGGCUUUGACGGGUAGCCGGCCUGAGAGGGUGACCGGCCACAUUGGGACUGAGAUACGGCCCAGACUCAUACGGGAGGCAGCAGUGGGGAAUAUUGCACAAUGGGCGGAAGCCUGAUGCAGCAACGCCGCGUGCGGGAUGACGGCCUUCGGGUUGUAAACCGCUUUCGCCUGUGACGAAGCGUGAGUGACGGUAAUGGGUAAAGAAGCAGCGGCUAACUACGU